UUUUAUAUUGACUUAUCCAUAUACUUACAUGGUAGAGUAGGUGAGUUGCAGUUAUCUGUGUUGCAGCAUGUCACAGAUGCAAGUGCACUCGCAGCUCCCAAGUUGGCUGAAUAUGUCUGAGAGCCUGCGGCUGGACACAGGGAGGACGAUGCACAAGCCUUGAAGAUUUGCAGGCCUGGGGUUCCAGCUGAAGUAGCUACAAAAUUUAAGUGCAAUUUGUUAAUGUUGACGGCAAGAACACAUAACUUUACAGUACAUGUAUUUCACUGAAAGUUAAUAGAUGACAUAAAGAAAUACCUACCUCGAAUGGAAGCUGUUAUACACAUUGUCUCUGAGGAACACGUUAGUGGUGCCGUGCUUGAACACUCCUGAUUUUUGCAAGUUUGACACACAAGUGCCAGCUAUAAAGGGAAGAAAAAUAAUCAGUGAAUGAUGAUCACAGGUCAAAAGUCAUAUGAAAUGUCUAAGGUGUUUUGGUGGUUUGUAAAAGCGGAAAACUCUUAUUAUUAUUAUUAUUAUUGUUAUACAAAAGGAUCACAAAGGUUGUAAAAAUAUCUCAUAUGCACUAUAUCGUUCUAAUUAAUUGUCUUUAUCUGCUUUCUACCCUUUCUGCUGCAUUUUGAAUUUGAGUCUUAUCUACAAUAUAUGAAUCUUGUUUAGUUUAAUUAAAAUAAAUCAUCUGAUGAUAUUUCGUGUCGGAUUUAAAUUCCUUUCUAAAAUCAGUUAUGGUAAAAUGACAAACUUCUUUAAAUAGUGCUCUCUAGUAACAGCAGAAACUGUAAAGUAAGAAUAAAUGGGGUUACCUGUGCUGGAGAUCAGAUUCAGAGAAAGGAUCAGCUUCAUCAUGAUGAACAGGUAAAUAGUGUAGAGCGCCCAGAUGAGAGUCAGAGAAAGGAUCAGCUUCAUCAUGAUGAACAGGUAAAUGCUGUAGAUGAGUUUUGCUGCAUGGUGAUACUACACUUCGUGCAGCUCUUUAUAUACUGUACAGGUGUUGCAGGCGUAAAAACCUCAAGGAUCAGGUGUGUUCCCAUGUUAAUAGCGUGACCAUUCAGAGACUCACC
rnacentral:lncRNA from 15 species